GCCAGUUUGGCCGAGUGGUUUAAGGCGGUGGUUUUAAGUCUUUGAGUCUUUGAACACCAUUAUCGAGAGAUGCGCAGGUUCGAACCCUGCAGCUGGCA